rnacentral:lncRNA from 1 species
ACAUUAGUUAGUUAAUUAGGUUUCUUAAUAGUCUUCUCAAGAUAUGGGAAUUAUUAAAAUCCUACUAAUUAUUAUGAAACUCGUGCUCAAUUAUACAACUAUGCUGGGUUUACACAUUAUGGUAAUGUUUGUAGAUGCAAUGCACCCCAAAUAACUGUCUGACCUGCAGCUGUCUGAAUGUUUACUUCUCUGGACCUACUGAACAGAUUUUCAUUUGGUUAUCACAGGUAGCUUAAUCUGGAGCAACAUAAGGUUAAUUAUGAAAUGGUAAUGAAAAUAAACAUCUGAGAAAAGCAAAUUCCAUGAACUAAUUUGAAAGUAUCUGUUACCAGUUCAAUAUUAAACCACAGGUAUAUGUACUAAAGGCAGUAAUGUCCAGAUAAUCAAUGAUUAGACUAUUGGACUUUUAGAAUAAAUUUUACAUUGAACUAUGAAUGGUUUGUCAUCUACAUUUUUAAAAAAGACGAGAUGUUUUGCCUGUAAGAACAAGAGAGAGAGAGAAUAAGAAGCAAUCCUGCUUCUUCACAUGAAUUUUACCCGCAUGACGACGGUUUUUAAUAUAAAAAAUAUUUACACAAUGUCUCAAAAAGCAAUCAAAGCUUUCAAAAAUAAACAAUGUUCGCAGAAGUUCAGUACCAACAAACUCACAAAAAAUGAGUUCAAAAUGUAGCAUUACUUGCAAGCCAGACUAAGAAAUUUCAAGAAGAUAAUUUAAAAGAAGACAAUAGAAUAAAAUAAUAUUAACACACAAUGCUUAGCAAAUAUAGCAUUAACAGAUGGAAACCAGGCAAUAGGUGUAGCAAAAUAGAAGAUGAAGGUCUAGCUGUGCCAGUCAG